rnacentral:rRNA from 1 species
GAUGAACGCUGGCGGCGUGCCUAAUACAUGCAAGUCGAGCGAACGGACGAGAAGCUUGCUUCUCUGAUGUUAGCGGCGGACGGGUGAGUAACACGUGGAUAACCUACCUAUAAGACUGGGAUAACUUCGGGAAACCGGAGCUAAUACCGGAUAAUAUUUUGAACCGCAUGGUUCAAAAGUGAAAGACGUUCUUGCUGUCACUUAUAGAUGGUUCCGAGCUGCAUUAGCUAGUUGGUAAGGUAACGGCUUACCAAGGCAACGAUGCAUAGCCGACCUGAGAGGGUGAUCGGCCACACUGGAACUGAGACACGGUCCAGACUCCUACGGGAGGCAGCAGUAGGGAAUCUUCCACAAUGGGCGAAAGCCUGACGGAGCAACGCCGCGUGAGUGAUGAAGGUCUUCGGAUCGUAAAACUCUUUUAUUAGGGAAGAACAUAUGUGUAAGUAACUGUGCACAUCUUGACGGUACCUAAUCAGAAAGCCACGGCUAACUACGUG